rnacentral:rRNA from 1 species
GAUGAACAUUGGCGGCAUGCUUAACACAUGCAAGUCGCACGCACCUUCGGGUGAGUGGCGCACGGGUGCGUAACACGUAGGUGAUCUGCCCUGAAGUGGGGAAUAACCACGAGAAAUCGUGGCUAAUACCGCAUAGUCUCCGCAAGGAGUAAAGCAGCAAUGCGCUUUAGGAGGAGCCUGCGGCCUAUCAGCUAGUUGGU